GGGGGGGGGGCUAUCAUGCAGUCGACGAACUCUGGUAUUGAUUGGUGCUUGCAUCAUGAUUUACAUUUGAGUGAGUGGCGAACUGGUGAGUAACACGUGGGAAACCUGCCCAGAAGCGGGGGAUAACACCUGGAAACAGAUGCUAAUACCGCAUAACAACUUGGACCGCAUGGUCCGAGUUUGAAAGAUGGCUUCGGCUAUCACUUUUGGAUGGUCCCGCGGCGUAUUAGCUAGAUGGUGAGGUAACGGCUCACCAUGGCAAUGAUACGUAGCCGACCUGAGAGGGUAAUCGGCCACAUUGGGACUGAGACACGGCCCAAACUCCUACGGGAGGCAGCAGUAGGGAAUCUUCCACAAUGGACGAAAGUCUGAUGGAGCAACGCCGCGUGAGUGAAGAAGGGUUUCGGCUCGUAAAACUCUGUUGUUAAAGAAGAACAUAUCUGAGAGUAACUGUUCAGGUAUUGACGGUAUUUAACCAGAAAGCCACGGCUAACUACGUGCCAGCAGCCGCGGUAAUACGUAGGUGGCAAGCGUUGUCCGGAUUUAUUGGGCGUAAAGCGAGCGCAGGCGGUUUUUUAAGUCUGAUGUGAAAGCCUUCGGCUCAACCGAAGAAGUGCAUCGGAAACUGGGAAACUUGAGUGCAGAAGAGGACAGUGGAACUCCAUGUGUAGCGGUGAAAUGCGUAGAUAUAUGGAAGAACACCAGUGGCGAAGGCGGCUGUCUGGUCUGUAACUGACGCUGAGGCUCGAAAGUAUGGGUAGCAAACAGGAUUAGAUACCCUGGUAGUCCAUACCGUAAACGAUGAAUGCUAAGUGUUGGAGGGUUUCCGCCCUUCAGUGCUGCAGCUAACGCAUUAAGCAUUCCGCCUGGGGAGUACGGCCGCAAGGCUGAAACUCAAAGGAAUUGACGGGGGGCCCGCACAAGCGGUGGAGCAUGUGGGUUUAAUUCGAAGCUACGCGAAGAACCUUACCAGGUCUUGACAUACUAUGCAAAUCUAAGAGAUUAGACGUUCCCUUCGGGGACAUGGGAUACAGGUGGGUGCAUGGGUUGUCGUCAGCUCGUGUCGUGAGAUGUUGGGAUAAGUCCCGCAACGAGCGCAAACCCUUUAUAUCAGCUGCCAGCAUUAAGUUUGGGCACUCUGAUGAGACUGCCGGUGACUAGCCGAGGCAGUGGGAUGACGUCCAAUUCAUCAUGCCCGUUUAAUGAACCUUGGG
rnacentral:rRNA from 1 species